AUUGAACGCUGGCGGCAUGCUUUACACAUGCAAGUCGAACGGCAGCGCGGGCUUCGGCCUGGCGGCGAGUGGCGAACGGGUGAGUAAUGCAUCGGAACGUGCCCAGUAGUGGGGGAUAGCCCGGCGAAAGCCGGAUUAAUACCGCAUACGACCUGAGGGUGAAAGCGGGGGACCGAAAGGCCUCGCGCUAUUGGAGCGGCCGAUGUCGGAUUAGCUAGUUGGUGGGGUAAAGGCUUACCAAGGCGACGAUCCGUAGCUGGUCUGAGAGGACGACCAGCCACACUGGGACUGAGACACGGCCCAGACUCCUACGGGAGGCAGCAGUGGGGGAUUUUGGACAAAGGGGGCAACCCUGAUCCAGCCAUGCCGCGUGCGGGAAGAAGGCCUUCGGGUUGUAAACCGCUUUUGUUCGGGAAGAAAUCCUCUGGGCUAAUACCCCGGGGGGAUGACGGUACCGGAAGAAUAAGCACCGGCUAACUACGUG
rnacentral:rRNA from 1 species